UCAUCGCUUAAUAAAUUAGCCUUUGGUAGC
rnacentral:sRNA from 1 species